AUGGGAGGAGGUCGUGGUAGAGGCCAGGACUGGCGAGGUAGAGCCAGAGGCAGAUUAUUUGAUGCAUGUGGUGGCCGUGGGAGAGGCAUGUUGUUUCCCGGAAGAGCAAACACUUCAGUUGCCGAGGAAGUGUCUCGAAAAUUGAGCGUUGAGAUAACCCCCGAUGAGCUAGAGAAGUGGCGUCAAUUCAAGAACCUAAAUCUUGGUGUUGAACAGCCUCAGGAGUCACAUGCAUCAUCCGCUUCAUCAGCAAAUUUUUCUGGUAAUAAUUCUCAUACUGUAAUGUGUACUGAUUAUCUUGCAGCUGGUGCACAAUGGUUAAUUGACUCAGGGGCUUCGAGACAUAUGAUUGGUUCUAUUAGGGAGUUGUCCAACUAUAUUCCUGUUUUUAAAAAGGAAAAUGUGAAAUUGGCUGAUGGUUCAACCCAAGCCAUUGUUGGGUCUGGAAUUGUCAAAUGCAGCCCAAAUAUGUCAUUAUCUUCAGUUUUACAUGUUCCAGCAUUCCCGAUUAAUCUUCUAUCUAUAAGCUGCAUCACUAGAGAGCUAAAUUGUGCUGCAAUAUUCUUCCCCACUUGGUGUAUUUUUCAGGAACUUGGAACUGGAAAAGAGAUUGGGAUAGGGAGCAUGCGUGAUGGGUUAUAUUACUUGGAUAGUAAUAUAUUUCCUGCAGUGGCUGCUACAGUGUCUCCCUCGUCACUAGAAGAAUUCCUACUUCAACAUCGUCGGUUGGGACAUCUUUCUUUUGCUAUUUUGGGUCAGAUUUACCCUAAUCUCUAUUGUAAAAUUAGUAAAGAACAACUAAUGUGUGAUGCCUGUCAGUAUGGAAAGCAAGUUAGGAGCUCUUAUUUAUCAUCUGAUAAUAGAAGUGAUGCGCCUUUGCAAACUAUACAUUCAGAUGUGUGGGGCCCUAGCAAAGUGACAUCUAUUAAUGGUUAUCGCUACUUUGUCACUUUCAUUGACUGCUGCACUAGAGCUACCUGGGUUUAUGUGUUACGCCAUAAAAGUGAAACAUUUGAAUGCUUUAGAGAUUUCCAUAAUCUGAUUAGGACUCAAUAUAGUGCUUGUGUGAAAGUGUUACGAACUGAUAAUGGCACAGAAUAUGUGAAUGGGGACUUUGAUGAAUAUUUGUCAAACUUUGGAAUUAUCCAUCAAACUACUUGCCUAGGUACUUCAGAACAGAAUGGUUUGGCAGAAAGGAAGAACAGGCAUAUUUUAGAAAUUGCAAGGUGCAUAAUGUUUGCCAAGAAUGUUCCAAAGUACUUGUGGAGUGAAGCAGUGAUGACUGCAGCUUAUUUGAUGAAUAGGAUGCCUUCUCGGGUCUUGGCUACAAGACACCAAUAG
rnacentral:rRNA from 1 species